AGCAAAAGAGGCCUUAUCUACAGCCCUUUCCAACUUGUCUGAGGAACCCCUAGAAGCUGACCUAUUACAUUUCAUGGAGCUCAAGAAGUCUCUUAUGAACUCCUGCCUUAUGAACGUGGUUGCAAGCCUAACCGAAGAGAAACUAUUAGCGAAGUGUUCAAAUUCAUAAGUGUCUAAGGAAGCAUUGACUUUGCGAAUAUGGAUCCCUGGCUUUUGACUUGAUAUCCUCUACGAAUGAUACCCUCAUAAGGCAACACAGCAAACCUAUAAACAUUGUAGUCAAUAGAUGCAACAUCUUGACCCAUUUUCCUCCCAAAAUAAAGACUGCAGCAUA